rnacentral:rRNA from 1 species
AACGGCCAUACGAUGCUGAAUAUACCGGUUCUCGUUAGAUAACCGAAGUCAAGCAUCAUUGGGCGCGGUCAGUACUUGGGUGGGUGACCACCUGGGAACACCGCGUGCCGUU